rnacentral:rRNA from 1 species
AAAAAAGGUAAGCUACUAAGAGCGAAUGGUGGAUGCCUUGACUGGUAAAGGCGAUGAAGGACGUACUAGACUGCGAUAAGCUACGGGGAGCUGUCAAGAAGCUUUGAUCCGUAGAUUUCCGAAUGGGGCAACCCAAUGUAUAGAGAUAUACAUUACCUAUAUAGGAGCGAACGAGGGGAAUUGAAACAUCUUAGUACCCUCAGGAAAAGAAAUCAAUAGAGAUUGCGUCAGUAGCGGCGAGCGAAAGCGCAAGAGGGCAAACCCAGUGCUUGCACUGGGGGUUGUAGGACUGCAAUGUGCAAGAGGUAAGUUUAGCAGAACAUUCUGGAAAGUAUAACCAUAGAGGGUGAUAGUCCCGUAUGCGAAAAACAAACCUUAGCUAGCAGUAUCCUGAGUAGGGCGGGACACGAGGAAUCCUGUCUGAAUCCGGGUCGACCACGAUCCAACCCUAAAUACUAAUACCAGAUCGAUAGUGCACAAGUACCGUGAGGGAAAGGUGAAAAGAACUGAGGUGAUCAGAGUGAAAUAGAACCUGAAACCAUUUGCUUACAAUCAUUCAGAGCCCUAUGUAGCAAUACAGGGUGAUGGACUGCCUUUUGCAUAAUGAGCCUGCGAGUUGUGGUGUCUGGCAAGGUUAAGCAAACGCGAAGCCGUAGCGAAAGCGAGUCUGAAUAGGGCGCUUAGUCAGAUGCUGCAGACCCGAAACGAAGUGAUCUAUCCAUGAGCAAGUUGAAGCUAGUGUAAGAACUAGUGGAGGACUGAACCCAUAGGCGUUGAAAAGCCCCGGGAUGACUUGUGGAUAGGGGUGAAAGGCCAAUCAAACUUCGUGAUAGCUGGUUCUCUCCGAAAUAUAUUUAGGUAUAGCGUUGUGUCGUAAUAUAAGGGGGUAGAGCACUGAAUGGGCUAGGGCAUACACCAAUGUACCAAACCCUAUCAAACUCCGAAUACCUUA